GCAGUUGAAGCUAAUGGUGCUAGAACUUAGUGUAAACCAGAAGUUCAGUCUUCUUAGUCUCAGACCAACACUUCAAUCACAAUAUUUCAUUUAAUUUUUCAUUUCUUUUUCCCCUUCAGGUGAUGAUGGACUUUAUUUCAGUUUCUCAAGUUACGUUCAUGGAAUAUUAUCCUAAGAAGGAGUUCUAUCCUAGGAGGGAAAAGAAAGGUUUUCAAUAUGGCUUCAUAGAUUUCUUUAGUGCCAGAAACCAAAAAAAGCAAGGUGCAAAAAUGUUGUUUCAUUUAGAAAAAUGAUUAGGCGAGUACAGGACCAACCUUUCAUACUAAUCCAGUCCUGAAGUAAAAAUUUCAACCUUUUACAUUUGUGACAAUAGGCUUCAAUCCAAUAUACCUACAGGACUCAAAAGAAUUUCUGAAUCCAUUUUACAUCUUUAUAUAAAAAAGUUGGAAUAGUUAAACCAUCUGUAUGCAGUGCUUGUUUGUCAAAAGUAGUUUCUGAUUAAUGUGAGAAAAAAAGCAGAUCAGCAAAAGUUGCACAUUUGAUUUACUGCAUUAAAUAAUAAUGCAUUGAAAUUAUAUUAUGCUAUUAGCACAUUAUAACUGCUAUAAUUUCACAUGAAUUCAUAAAGAAUGUGAAUGUCAUUAUCAGUUCCAAUACAUUUUGAUUUUUAAAAACUUCUAGUGGAAACAAUAAUUUAUUUUAAAUUUGUAGACCCAUAAAUGUUUCAGGGAAACAAAUUAGAUUAUAGAAAAAUAUACUAUAUAACUUUUUCCCUGUAAACACUCUGAAGACACAUAGGCUAUGAGGAAUAUUCUAUGUUUGAGACAUCUCUAAUAUAUGCACACACUGCAUGAAAUCACAUUCUUCUCCAAUUCAUAUGAUUGUGUUGAAUGCUCAGUGUCAGUCAUUUUAAGUGUACUUUGUUAUAUGGUAAAUAAUAAUGGAUAAUGGAACAAGAGAACCAUAUAUUUGUCUAUUUUAAUUGUGUCCGAUAUUAUAAUUGCAUUAUCAUUUCAAACACUGUUUGGAAUGCCUAAAUUCAGUUGAAAAGUGUUUCCAUUGUUUUACAACAUGUUGUUCUAACAUAAUUGAGAACUGAAUGUGAAUCAGGACUGACUUCUGAAAAGUAUUUGUAUCAGAAAUAAAAUAACUUCCUACCACUUGUUAUCCUUUAUAUAUUUUCAAUUCUAAGUUUUUAAUCAUACGGUAUUUACACAAUUGCUUUUACAAGUAUCUUAUAUUAGCUCAUAUUUUAUAAAGAGUCAUUUGUUUUAGAUGGGCAGUUAUAGAAAUUGAAAAAAAUAAAUUAUAUAACAGCAACAUAUUAGCAGGAUACAAAUGAGAAGGGGCGUUGUCUUACCUGAAGGCCUUUUCUCAGUACGGAGAUGGAGAAUCCAUCAAUGAGUUUUCUCUACCUGCUUGCUCUUGAGACCAAGUAGCCAAACUUGACACGUCCCCUCUUGCUAGGAGAUCCAGUCUUGAUGAGGGCGAAAGUGACUGAUGCAAGGACAAGGCAUUGGCUCUCAAUUCCCUAAUAACGGCCUAACUGACCAUAGGGUGGGUGUGGAUUCUCCAUCUCCAUACUGAGAAAAGGCGUUCAGGUAAGACAACGCCCCUUCUCCAGUACAGGAGAUGGAGAAUCCACCAAUGGGACAUACCAAAGCCUCACUGUCCCGAUGGGUGGGAAACAGAUAAGGCCGAAUCUACGUCCCUGGAGACCACUUGCUGGGGGACCCACUGACCAAAGGAGGCAUCCGCUGAAGCAAAACAGUCAAUCCUAUAAUGAUGUCUAAAAGGGGAGGGCGAUGACCAUGUUGCAGCCCUGCAAAUCUCUUCGAUGGAUGCCUGAAUGGCCCAUGCCACAGAUGUCGCAGCGCUGCGAGUGGAAUGGGCCGUAAUAUGACUUGGAGUUGGUAAGGAGGAAGAUUGGUAUGCCUCCGAUACAGGACCUGAUCCACCUGCCGAUAGUGCCAGCGGAUACCUUCUGUCCCAGGGAAGCCGGGCGGAAGGAAACAAAAAAAGGUCCCCAGAUCAUCGAAAGGGUUCUGUGCACUUAAUGUAACGCCGCAGGGCCCUGCGGACAUCCAACGUAUGGCAUUGCUGCUCCAAGUCAUGGGAGAGAUCAGGACAAAAGUCAGGCAAGAUGACUUCCUAUGUUCUAUGGAAAGGUGAAUUGAUCUUGGGCACGAAGCCGGGAUCCAACCGAAAGACCACCUGGUCUCAGUGGAAGGUGCAAAGGUCAUUCCUGACCGAGAGAGCAGCCAGUUCUGAGACACACCUGGCUGAUGCAAUGGCGACCAAGAAAGUAACCUUAAGAGAUAAAGCCCGCAAUGGUAUAGUAACUAUGGGCUCAAAGGGCAGUUUUGUUAGUGCACGAAGCACACGAGGCAGCUCCCAAAAAGGGUACCUGUGUACCACAGGAGGGCUAGUGUUGUAAGCCCCCUUGAUGAAAGUGCCUAUCCUGGGAUGAUGAGCUAGAGGAACUGAGUCCGAACAAGUGAGCAAUGUCGAUAGGGCCGCUACAUGCCUAUGAAGGGUCGCAGGGGCCAGGCCUCUGUCCAGACCGUCAAGAAGAUAGUCUACGAUCUGGGGAAUAGUUAAAUUGUACACAUUCAGUUGCCACCUUCUGCACCAAUUGCAAAAAUUGUUCCAUAUGGAACAAAUGUGAUUAGUUGCCGGUCCACGAGAGGCCUGAAACAUGGUUAUUGCCCAUGGAGAGAAUAACUCUUGUGUUAUGAUGUUGCGCUCAAGUGCCAGGCAGCUAACUGUAACCACUGAGGGUCUAGAUGUUGGAGGACCCCAUGCAAUAUGGGGGAAUCCUCCACGGAGGAGAGCAGGAGAGAUUCAUGAGAUUCACAAGCCAGGGUCUCUGCGGCCAGUAUAGAGCCAUGAGGAUUACUUCCGCCUGCUCCUGAAACAGUUUGUGGAUGGUUGCCAGAAUGAGUGGAAGGGGAGGGAAGGCAUAAAGAAGGCCCCGUGGCCACGGAGUCUGCAGGGCACCCGUCCCUUCCGUCCCCAGAAGAUACUAAUGGGAGACGUACCUGGGGAGUUGGGCAUUGCUCAACAAAGCAAACAGGUUGAUGACUGGAUGGCCGAACCUGCUGAAUAUUCCAGAAAAAAGAUCCGGAUGUAGUCCCUAUUCUGAGGGGUCUAUCGUGGAGCGACCAGGAAAGUCUGCCUGCCGGUUCUUGACCCCCGAGAUGUGUUCAGCCUUGAGAGAGGCCAGGUUGGGCUCUGCCCAGGAUCCUAGUAACCGGACCUUGGACCUAAGGGACUUGGACCUGGAGCCCCCCUGCCGAUUCACAUGGGCCUUGGGCUCCACGUUGUCCAUGAGGAUACCUGAUCCAGUGUCAGAAUUGAUGGAGAGCCAAGUGAACGGCCCUGAAUUCCAGCCAAUUGAUGUUGUGUCUCAAGUCUGUGUGGGACCAACAUCCCUGCGCAAACUGAGACUGAAGGUGGGCUCUCCAACCGAAGAGGCUGGCGUCCGUCGUGAUGGUGAGGCGGUCUGGCUCCUUGAAGGAGACCCCUGCCAGCUGGAUGCGCUGACAUUCAACUGCUGGAAUGGAAGAAGGAACCAUUGGCGCUCCUACCGGUGGAGUCUGGCCCAGGGAACAAUGGCAGUUUGUGGUGUCUAUGAUGGCUCCCAGGUGCAGGAGCCUGGAUGAGGGAACCAUCUGGCUCUUUUGGAAGUUCACUGAGAACUCGUGCUGCUGGAGGACCUGAAUAGUUAGUUGCAGGUCCUAAUGGGCCACCCAGAAGGAGGACGCUUGGAUCAGAAUAUCGUCCAGAUAACAUUGGACGCAUAGCAAUACCUUCCACAAGUGGGCAGCCAGAAUAGCCAGGAUCUUGGUGAACUCCCUGGGUGCCGAGGAAAAGCCAAAAGGAAGGGUCUUGUACUGGAAGUGGGGGCCCCUGUAACAGAGCUUGAGGAACCGCCGGUGUUCUGAAUGGAUGGGGAUAUGGACAUACGCUUCUGUGAGGUAUAUUGAUAUCAGGAAGUCUCCUUGUCUGAUGGCAUCCAGAAUGGACUGGAGGAAUUGCUUUUUGAACUUUUUGUAAGCAAUGUAAUAGUUUAGAAUUGCCCUCCAUUCCUCCGAGGGCUUGGGAAACACAAAGAGGACGGAAUAGAAUCUCCUGCCUACAUGGUCCAGCGGAACCGGUUCUAUGGACUAAAUCUCUAGGAGAUGUUGAAUGGCCUCCUGCAUAAGUCCCUUUAUUUUAUCAGAUCCUGAGAGGUGGAACAGGAGAUUAAGCGAUCCGGGAGACUGGCCAGAAAUUCCAGGGAUAGUAAGACCCAGACGUCCGUGGAUGUGAGUUCCCACUGAUGGAAGAAGUGGGCAAGUCUUCCCCCUAUGAGGAGUGUGGAGUGAGAGUCCUUUGGACUUCCUGAAGGGACGUCCUGCCCCUCGAACUGGCUUCUUAGAUUGGUUCUGCUGCCUGGGGCGAAAGCCUGAUCUAUCAUACAGACAGUCAUAUGGCCUGUCCUGGUGGGGUGUGUAUGAAUGGGGGGGGCUGGGGGAGCUGCUGAACCUGCUGCUGUUCAAAGGAACUGCCUGCGGAAAUAUGGAUUGGCAUUUUUGUCAGACCGUCUAGUAAGGUGUGCCAUAACCUUCCAUUUAUCCCUGUUCUCAACAAGGUACGGAUUCAGUAUCUCCCAAAGAGAUUGUUGCCCAGAUAUGAGGCAGUAGCGAGACACCAUUUGACUUUGGCGUCAGCCAGCAAGUGUUUCAGCCAUAGCAUCCUUCUGGCUGUGAUGUUGGAGGUUAGGGACCUGGAAGCAAAGUUGGCCUACUGAAGAGCCGCAUCCGUGGCAUACUCAGUUGCAGCCACCAUUGUAUUUAGAUGCUGGGAGUCCGAAUGUCCUCAUGAAGGACUCUGGCCUGUAGUUGGCACAGCCAUAAGAGGGUGGUCCGGACAAAAAAGGAUGCCCAGGUGGCUGUUUUGAUAGCCCAUGCCACUGAUUGAUGAGUCUUAUGAAAAGUCUGUUCCCACUUCUUGUUGUCCACUUUAAGUGCCUUAGACAUAUCUCCAGUGACUGCAGUCUGGGAUGCCAGUGGGACCCAGGCCUCAUCCACCUUGGGGACCUCAAGGGCCUCACUUAAGUCUGUAGAGGUACCAAGGAUCCUUUUUAUCUGACUUGCUUACGGAAGGACAUGAGGAAGGGGAGACCCAUUGCUUUUUAAUCCCCUUAAUAUAGAAAGAGAGGGAGCGUGGUGCUGGGCUGCCACCAUUUCACAGAAUAUUGGAUUUGGACUGAAAUCCAAUGUGGCCUGUAGUUGAGGGGACUGAUCCGACCCAAUAUUUGCGGUUGAGGUGACCCUGCUAAGCAAGGGAAGAAAACAGGGCCGGAUUGAAUAGACCUCCAGAUGGGGAGGGUUCAGGGGGGAGUUCCUCCUCCUCUGAAAAAUUGAAGUCCGGUUGGUCCUCACCCCUGCAGAGAUGAGUAUCCGCUCAUUGAGAAUAUAGGGAUCCCUGAAGGAGGAACAUAAGGCGGCGCAGCUGAUGUGGAUGCCCCCCGUUCAGGUGGAUGGAGAGAUCGUUCUGCUAGAGUGCGGUCCAACACCUUGGAUAACAGGGCCUCCAUUCAUAUAUCGGAGAAAAUAUUUCCAAGGUCAGGACCCCUGAGUCCUGCUGCAAUUGGAGUAAAGGUAGCCUCAGGGGCUGAACCCAAGUGAAGUGAGGGAUUAGUAACUGUUUACUGAGGUGGUACAGAAGGUGUGGUGGAAUCUUCCGUCAGAGACUACACGCCCUGAACUGAGGUCGAAGGACCUAAAGGAAGGUCAAACUCAGGGGCCGCCACUUGGUCCAUCUAUAAUUCUGCCUGUCUCUGCACUCUGGAGAGCUCCUUCUCCAGAGCCUGGUGCUUAUGGCUGGCAUGCUUUUCUGCCAACUUGGAAGUUUUCCUGAGAGUGCCCAUAGCCUUGGUUGUGGGCUUGCCUGCUCCCUCUGGAUUGGAGGUGGUCUGUCAGCCGUAACGAGAGGAUGGAGGAGCUGUGCACAUGGGUUGAGGCCCAGUGGAGUCCUCCAUCCUAGGUUGAGCUGUCUCAGGGAAACUGAGGCAAAGCUCUGGCAGGGAAGCAGUUGGCAGAAGCGAAAUUGGAGCAAGUAACGAGGACUGCUCCCCUAACCAUCUGACCAAAAAGGCAACUCUAUCUGGGCUUGGUCACGGCAAUGGCAGCUGAUGCCAAAGGUAUGGUUGGGGACCUGCUCUGGGCUCCACUCGGAGGCCUUAGGUGGCCAGUCAAAGUGCACCAGAUGGCCCAAUGAAGGGCACAGAGAGUCUGAAUAGAAGCCAGGCAAGGAAAGAUGAGGAUCAAUAGAAGCUUGAUUAAUUUAGUGUAUAAUAUUAUAAAACAAAACGUCCCUCAAAAAUCACUCAGGCCUUUGUGACUAUAAGGCUCUGGCCUGAUGAGGUCUAAAUUUUAUUUUAAUUUAUUCUAUUUUAUUUAUUUAUUUAUUUGUUCAAUUUUUUUUUAUGUGGCAUUCAAAAUGGCAGCCGUCAGAAUUCGGGUGGAAAUUAUGGACUCUAGGGCUGUGUGACCUGACCAGGGACCAAAGAUCCAGAAGACAGAAACAAUUAAAUCAUAGGAGGAAGAUUAAACAGCCUAGGUAUGCCAGGAAAACUUUUUACUCUUCGUUGUUUUAGCGCUAAAAAAAAUGGCAGCCGCCACUAGCUCUGCUGCUGAAAACAACUACUGUGACCACACAGGGGAAGUUUCCCCAACGUUGGGAAUGUCCUGGUAGAAGCUAGUGCACUGGCUGUGGGAAAUUGCUCCAAUUUGUCUCCGAUCGUGAGAAAGGAAAAAACGGAGCCUUGGGAGUUGUUUUAAAUUUUGCUGCCUCAAACGGCAGCCAAAAUGGCACCCGCAGUGUCCCAAACAGCUCUGGAGGUCUGGGAAGUAAAAUAGAAUCAAUCUGAGUGGGAACGCUGUUGCUUGGGUCCUAAGAGGGGAGGUGAUAAUUUCACCUAAGGCAGUUUGUGAGCUGCUCACAAAAAAACAACAAAUUCCUUUCCCCCAGAGCCCUGGGGAAAAUGGAACGAAUUAAAGGCAAUUGUCUUUCCCCUCACACACACACACCCUGCAGUUCAAAAGCCUCCGAUUUAAGGCAGCGCUGAGCCCAGCGCUGCAGGGAACUGUAGGAAAUGAUUCCCAGACUGUGAGGAUUAUUAAAUUAUAUUGAGGGAUAUUACUAUUAAAGGGAGAAUUCACCAAUGGUUUACUACCUGCUAAUCUGCUGAGAAAGCCAACCCUGACACGUCUUCAACAGCUUGAGACCAAGUCAAGACUGGGUCUCCUAGCAAGAGGGGCGUGUCAAGUUUGGCUACUUGGUCUCAAGAGCAGGCAGACAGAGAAACCCCAUUGGUGGUUUCUCCAUCUCCUAUACUGGAGAAAGGAACGGUAUGUAUUCCCAGGUCAAUUUUUUUUCUAUUAAAAGUGGUUAAUAUAUUAGGAUUGUAGAGAUCCUCAUUCUUUCUUAACACGAUCCUAAUGUCCAUCAUUGUUAGCAGAUAGACUAAUAGGUCUAGAUUUAAAUACUUUAAUCUGUUUCUCUUGCCCAGAUUAUAUUUGCAAUUUAUUAUGUCUAUUUGUUUUAAUUUGCCAAACGAUCCACUUUUAUGUUAGUCAGUCCUUAAAGUGAUAGUGAGGAGUUGGGUUUUUUUUUUUUUUGUCACUUUGUAAUUUAUCAAGAAAGGAAGAAAUGAAGGAAUUGGUUAAAUAUCUUUUGUUGCUGUUAAUUAUUGUUCAAUUAAACUUUUUCUCUUCAACUAAAGUCACACAUACAAAGUAUUUGGAUUUCUGUAAUCUACAUUAAUAAUAAAAUUCAGGAGAUAUCUCUAACUUGUUAUAUUGUUCCCCAUUCUUCCCAUCCAUCUAUUAAUAUCAGUUAACAGGAUAAUUUUGCCCCCUUAGAUUACAUUCAAAUGUUUGAGGGUUUUUUUUAAUAUACCUAUUGAGGCUCCUAUGCAUAAUACCAAUAGUGGCUUACAGGAAGCUAAUCACAGAAUUAAAAGUAUCACAUCACCUCAAUCAACAUUCAAUGACAAGACCAUUCCUGUGAGUAGGCAAAAUUUCUGUAUUCCCAAAUGUUCUCCCAAAACUCUCCUUCCAUUAUAUGAUUCACUAGAGUGCCUACAUACAAUUAUCAGCAGCCUAUGAAUUCCUACUUUCAUCAGCACCCAUAAUAAAUUAGAUAUCGAUAGAGGAGAAUAUUUGUAGCUCAGGUUUGAAUGAGGGUCCUUGAUACUCCCUGAGCUUGGCUUUUUUUGCAGAUGUUUCAUUACCAAACUAGGAAAUAUAUCAGUAGCAUUGAUGAUGUUACCUAGUUUGGUAAUGAAACGUCUGCAAGAAAAUCAAGCUCAGAGAACACCAACGACCCUUCAAUUGAAAUGUCACCCAUUUACACUUGCUGACAUACAUUUUAACUUUUAGGGACAUCAUAACCUACAUCUUUACUUCCUUAUUUCUCAUAUCAGACCACUGAAUUACAUACUUCCCCUUUCUCUCAGUUUCAUGAGCACAUUGCAUAUCUAAUAAUAAUAAUUGGAGGAGUUGGAAGGGACCUUGGAGGUCAUCUAAUCCAACCCCCUGCUCAGGCAGGAAACCCUAUACCAUUUCAGACAAAUGGCUGUCCAGUCUCUUC